AUGCUUAUUGAAGAAAUAGCAUGUUCAGGUUUUUUGUGUUAAAUGUGUUAAUUUCUAUGAGAUAAAUGCCCAGAAGUGAAAUUGCUGGGUCAUAUGGUAGUUGCAUGUUUAGUUUCUUAACAAGCUCCAACUUCAUAUCAUUACAUUUGAAGUAAGUUUCUUAUAUAGUAGAUCAUGUUUUUAAAUCCGCUCUGACAAUCUCUGUCUUUUAAUUUGUGUAGUUAGAAUAGUGUUAUGACUUAACACUGACAUUUUUUGUUGUUUUCCUCUAUUUGUUUUCUCUAGUUUUUGUUUUAGUUUUCCUUUUCUUGCUUCCCUACAGGUUACUUGAAUAUUUUAAAACUUUAUUUUAAUUUAGGUACAGUGUUUUUGAGCAUAUGUCUUUGUAUAGCUUUUUUAGUGAUAUUAAAUUAUACUUGAUAUUACAUUAUAUAUACAUAACUUAUCACAGUCUAUUGUGUCAUUAUUUUGAAUGAAAUAUGGAAGUCUCAUCUCUUUAUAUUCCCUUCCCCUUCCCCAUUUAUAGUAUAAUUAUUAUAACUAUUUCCUGCCCAUAUAUUUGGAACCACAUCAAUCAGUGUUAUAACUUUUGCUUAAUCUGGUAAACAUAACAACAAAAUUUAAGAAGAAAAGGAAAACUAAUUACAUUUAUGCAUAUUUUUGUGUACUAUCUUUAUUCCUUCUUGCUGUUUUGAGGCUCCUUCUUUCAUCAUUCCUUUUCUGUUUAGAAAAAUUCCUUUAGCCUAAAAGGAGUAGGUCUGCUAGUGACAAAUUAUCUUAGUUUCCCUUUAACUGAGAAUGUCUUAAUUUUCCCUUCAGUUCUGAAGUAUAUUU
rnacentral:lncRNA from 1 species